rnacentral:rRNA from 1 species
GACGAACGCUGGCGGCAGGCCUAACACAUGCAAGUCGAGCGAGCGGCGGACGGGUGAGUAAUGUCUUGGAACAUGCCUGAUGGAGGGGGAUAAAUACUGGAAACGGUAGCUAAUACCGCAUACCAUCAGAUGUGCCCCGAUGGGCUUAUCUAGUCGGUGUGGUACCGGCUAACCUAGGCGACGAUCCCUAGCUGGGCUGAGAGGCUGACCAGCCACACUGGAACUGAGACACGGUCCAGACUCCUACGUGAGGCAGCAGUGGGGAAUAUUGCACAAUGGUCGCAAGCCUGAUGCAGCCAUGCCGCGUGUAUGAAGAAGGCCUUCGGGUUGUAAAGUACUUUCAGCGGGGAGGCGUUACCCGCAGAAGAAGCACCGGCUAACUCCGUGCCAGCAGCCGCGGUAAUUC